rnacentral:rRNA from 1 species
GUCUUUAUGAAUAAAUAUAAAGUUGAACCUGCCCAAUGAUUAAUUUAAAUGGCUGCGGUAUAUUGACCGUGCAAAGGUAGCAUAAUCAUUAGUUUUUUAAUUGGAAACUGGAAUGAAUGGUUUGACGAAAAAUAUUCUGUCUGCGUUGUAAUAUAUUGAAUUUUAUUGUUAGGUUAAAAAGCCUAAAUGUAGGUAAGGGACGAGAAGACCCUAUAGAGUUUAUAUAAUUGUUGUAAUUAAAAAUUUAGUUAAUUAUUAAUUUAAUUAUUGUAAUUAUAUUUUGUUGGGGUGAUGAGAGAAAAAUAAAAACUUCUUUUUUAAUAAGACUAUAAUAAUAGGAUAUGAUUUGAUGAUCUUGUAUUAUGAAAUGGAAGAGUAAAUUACCUUAGGGAUAACAGCGUAAUUUUGUUUGAGAGUUCUAAUCGAUGAUAAAGUUUGCGACCUCGAUGUUGGAUUAAGAUGACUAUUAGGUGUAGAAGUUUAAUUAGUAGGUCUGUUCGACCUUUAAAUUCUUACA